rnacentral:rRNA from 1 species
AGAGUUUGAUCAUGGCUCAGAACGAACGCUGGCGGCGCGUCUUAAGCAUGCAAGUCGAACGGCAGCACGGGGUAACCUGGUGGCGAGUGGCGAACGGGUGAGUAGCGCGUAGGUGAUCUGCCUUUGGGCUGGGGAUAGCCAUUAGAAAUAGUGGGUAAUACCGAAUGAUGUCGUACUGUUAUGACAGAACGAUUAAAGGGGCUACGGCCUCGCCUGGAGAUGAGCCUGCGUCUGAUUAGCUAGUUGGUGAGGUAAGAGCUCACCAAGGCGACGAUCAGUAGCCGGCCUGAGAGGGUGGUCGGCCACACUGGGACUGAGAUACGGCCCAGACCCCUACGGGAGGCAGCAGCUAAGAAUCUUCCGCAAUGGACGAAAGUCUGACGGAGCGACGCCGCGUGGGUGAUGAAGGCGGAAACGUUGUAAAACCCUUUUGUAGACGAGGAAUAAGCUUUGGAGGGAAUGCCAGAGUGAUGACGGUAGUCUGCGAAUAAGCCCCGGCUAAUUACGUGCCAGCAGCCGCGGUAACACGUAUGGGGCGAGCGUUGUUCGGAAUUAUUGGGCGUAAAGGGUGUGCAGGCGGUUAUGUAAGUCUGACGUGAAAGACUCGAGCUUAACUCGAGGAACGCGUUGGAAACUGUGUGACUAGAGUUCUGGAGGGGUAGCUGGAAUUCCAGGUGUAGGGGUGAAAUCUGUAGAUAUCUGGAAGAACAUCAGUGGCGAAGGCGAGCUACUAGCCAAGGACUGACGCUGAGACACGAAAGCGUGGGGAGCAAACAGGAUUAGAUACCCUAGUAGUCC